GGCGGGACACGUGGUAUCCUGUCUGAAUAUGGGGGGACCAUCCUCCAAGGCUAAAUACUCCUGACUGACCGAUAGUGAACCAGUACCGUGAGGGAAAGGCGAAAAGAACCCCGGCGAGGGGAGUGAAAAAGAACCUGAAACCGUGUACGUACAAGCAGUGGGAGCCUCUUUAUGGGGUGACUGCGUACCUUUUGUAUAAUGGGUCAGCGACUUAUAUUCUGUAGCAAGGUUAACCGUAUAGGGGAGCCGAAGGGAAACCGAGUCUUAACUGGGCGUUAAGUUGCAGGGUAUAGACCCGAAACCCGGUGAUCUAGCCAUGGGCAGGUUGAAGGUUGGGUAACACUAACUGGAGGACCGAACCGACUAAUGUUGAAAAAUUAGCGGAUGACCUGUGGCUGGGGGUGAAAGGCCAAUCAAACCGGGA
rnacentral:rRNA from 1 species